rnacentral:rRNA from 1 species
ACGUAGGGGGCGAGCGUUGUCCGGAUUCAUUGGGCGUAAAGAGCUCGUAGGCGGUUCGAUAAGUCGGCGGUGAAAGCCCGGGACCUAACUCCGGAAGGUCCGUCGAUACUGUCGGACUUGAGUCUGGUAGGGGAGUGCGGAAUUCCUGGUGUAGCGGUGAAAUGCGCAGAUAUCAGGAGGAACACCGGUGGCGAAGGCGGCACUCUGGGCCAGUACUGACGCUAAGACGCGACAGCACGGGGAGCGAACGG